rnacentral:rRNA from 1 species
AGAGCGAACGCUGGCGGCAGGCCUAACACAUGCAAGUCGAGCGCCCGUAGCAAUACGGGAGCGGCAGACGGGAUAGUAACACGUGGGAACGCGCCCUUCGGUUCGGAAUAACUCAGGGAAACUUGAGCUAAUACCGGAUACGCCCUUACGGGGAAAGAUUUAUUGCCGAAGGAACGGCCCGCGUCCGAUUAGCUAGUUGGUGAGGUAAUGGCUCACCAAGGCGACGAUCGGUAGCUGGUCUGAGAGGAUGACCAGCAUCACUGGGACUGAGACACGGCCCAGACUCCUACGGGAGGCAGCAGUGGGGAAUAUUGGACAAUGGGCGCAAGCCUGAUCCAGCCAUGCCGCGUGGAUGAUGAAGGCCUUAGGGUUGUAAAGUCCUUUUAACGGGAAGAUAAUGACGGUACCCGUAGAAUAAGCCCAGGCUAACUUCGUGCCAGCAGCCGC